rnacentral:rRNA from 1 species
AGUCGGAAUCGCUAGUAAUCGCGAAUCAGAAUGUCGCGGUGAAUACGUUCCCGGGCCUUGUACACACCGCCCGUCACACCAUGGGAGUGGGUUGUACCAGAAGUAGAUAGCUUAACUGAAAGGGGGGGCGUUUACCACGGUAUGAUUCAUGACUGGGGUGAAGUCGUAACAAGGUAACCGUAGGGGAACCUGCGGUUGGAUCACCUCCUUACCUGAAUGAAG